rnacentral:rRNA from 1 species
UACGUAGGAGGCGAGCGUUGUCCGGAGUUACUGGGCGUAAAGAGCGCGCAGGCGGUCGUUCAAGUCGCGUGUGAAAGCCCCCGGCUCAACUGGGGAGGGUCACGCGAUACUGAUCGACUCGAAGGCAGGAGAGGGAAGUGGAAUUCCCGGUGUAGUGGUGAAAUGCGUAGAUAUCGGGAGGAACACCAGUGGCGAAGGCGACUUCCUGGCCUGUUCUUGACGCUGAGGCGCGAAAGCUAGGGGAGCAAACGGG